AGCCCCGCUGCGUGAGCGUCUCCUCGGCGUCGAGGCAGGCUGUGGCCCUCUCAGGCGUUAGCCGGCAUCGUCCUCACUCCCUGCAAGGCUUUGAUGGGAGAACUCAGAAUGUCCCACAGAAUGGAAACUGUAUACUGCUAUCUGCAAGUGAACACAAUGGCAUAGAAGAAGGGCCAUCAGGAUAGAGACAUCUCAAAAUCAUUGUGGUCCCAAUGGGUGAUCUGCCCUACUCUACCUAGGCAAUGCUGCCCUCAAUCACGAAUUCCAAUUAGAGGUAACCGAAAAGCCUCAGAGCCAACUUUCUGCUAAAACAGAGACCAAGCAAUUAAGGUUUCUCAAAAAAAAAAAAAAAAAAAAAAAAAGAAGAAGAAGAA